rnacentral:antisense_RNA from 1 species
CUGCAGCCACGAUCAUGGUGACAAAUGCGAAGAGCCACGCGAGCACCAGGAAGCCGAUGGCAGGCCAGGACACGCGCUGGCCACCGCGCUGGGGGCGAGAGGAGGGCAGAGAUGUGGACCCACACAGAGGCCACGCCGGGGCUGAGCACGGACGGCCCCGGAUAGGGCGGGCUUAGAGAGGGGCACGGAGGCUGGACCCUGGCCUUGAAGGAGCCCCUGCAAGGUGGGGGCUGCACUGGGGUUGUGGCAGGGGAACAUCUGGGCCACAGAAAGCAUCACACCUGGGCUGGUGCUGGACAUCCCCAGCACCAACCACACCUUCUCAUCGCCAGGGCCUCCUGUUCAGGCUGCUUGGACUCUCAAGCUCCGUCUGCUUUGUUCCUACUUGGCAGAACUGGGCGCCUCUCAGCACUCACUUGGGAGACGUGGGCUCCGAACUCUGGUGGCCUGGUGCCUCUCCCAGCCAGCACAGGACCUGGAUGAAUGAACACACACCCUUCCUUUCCCAGGCUCUGCCGUGUCUUCUGUCAAAGGUCCCUCCUGCUACCACCACGGAUGCCACCUAAUCCCUGCCCUCUCAAAGAGCUACUUCCCUCCUCCCUUCCUCCCCUGCCCAAGAUCUCCCUGCCCCUCAAGUCCUGGCUCCAGAGGGGAGUCAGGAGGCCCCCGGAAGAAAGCGUCUCCCUCCCGGCUCUCUGCUUGCCAUCCCCCAGGAGGCCCACGUGGCCAGGGUGACUGCAGGACAGCUUGUGUCCUUGCAAGUCAAGGUGGGACAGCUUCGUCCCAAAGACCGAGUCUACAGGACUUGACGCCGCAAUCCUCCAGUGUCGGAUGGACCCAGCGCAGAGGAGAUUCACGAUGGACUGCCCUCCCUC